GUGAAGCUCUCUCCUCUUUGCGUCUUUCUCCCCCGCUCUCUCUCUCUCUCUCCUUUAUUUCAAAUUUCGUUCGAGACCCCUUCCUCCUCUACCUCUCCUCUCCUCUCUCUCCGUAUCGAAAAAUCCGACGACCACCUCCGGGCUUUCAAUUGCUGGGAAACGACGGAGGCUUGGUGGCAUUGGGUCGGAGGGCUCUAUGGCACGAGCUUCCCUCUGAAGGAAGGGGUCAUCGGAGAGAAAUAGACAAGAAUGUUGGCGUCUGUGCAGUCGUUACACUAGCCGGCCGACCCAGAAGAGAACGAAGUCGAACUCCCUGUCGACGUCGUCGUCGUCCUCCGUACUGGCACGUCGUAACCCGCACGCCAAUUCCGUCUCUCCUAUGCGGAUGCUGCCGCCAUCCAUUGAGAUGAUUAGUUUGAGCAUCACCCAUCGCUUGGCUGAAUGGAGCGCUGGAACAAAAGCUAGCACAGUCACCAAAAACUGUUAUGGCGAGACAGUGCCGAUGAGCAGAAUUGCAUAUCUAGGCAAAUACCUAGAGCAGAUGAGACCUGUAGAUGAAGUACUUAAGACAUGCAUAGUCCAUCAACGCCAGCAUAUCUUCUUGACAUAACAAUGCUCUUGGCUUUGCGGAAAGACAGACACACUUCUAUCUACUACGGCAAACUAAGCCCAAAGUAAAGAGCUUGCCCAGAUCGUUAUGCUGAUGGCAACCAUCAGCGCCUUCCCGGCUUGCCUAAUACUUAGAACCAACUUUUUUAUUAGGACUUUGCUUUACUAAUUUUUCACUUGCUAUAAUGUACGCUUACUGGCAAUUGUAACAAUUUACUUCUCUGCCUCCCCUGACAAUUCUAUGGGAGAGUGUGAAUAUGAAAAUGUCUCCUUUGUCAUGUAAAGACGACUAAAAAGCAUAUUGCUUUUGCUCGGAAUUAAGGUGGCUCAUUUCUACUUAG